CGUAGGGGGCAAGCGUUGUCCGGAAUCAUUGGGCGUAAAGCGCGCGUAGGCGGCCCGGUAAGUCCGCUGUAAAAGUCCAGGGCUCAACCCUGGAAAGCCGGUGGAUACUGUCGGGCUAGAGUCCGGAAGAGGCGAGUGGAAUUCCUGGUGUAGCGGUGGAAUGCGCAGAUAUCAGGAGGAACACCAAUGGCGAAGGCAGCUCGCUGGGACGGUACUGACGCUAAGGCGCGAAAGCGUGGGGAGCGAACAGGAUUAGAUACCCUGGUAGUCCACGCUGUAAACGAUGGGCACUAGGUGUGGGAGGUGUCGACUCCUCCCGUGCCGUCGCUAACGCAUUAAGUGCCCCGCCUGGGGAGUACGGCCGCAAGGCUA
rnacentral:rRNA from 1 species